GGGAUGCGUGUCACACGUGCGUGCCCCUCGGUAUCCCACCUUCUCUUUGCUGAUGAUAGCCUUUUCUUUUGUAAGGCGGAGCCCCGUGAAUGUGAAGAAGUAAUGAAAGUAGUUAGGAUAUAUGGUAAAGCAUCUGGCCAGUGAACUUUGAUAAAUCGUCCUUACUCUUUGGUAAGCGAGUUAAUGCAACUACCAGACAAGAGGUCAAAGAUGCACUGGGAAUACAAAAUGAAGGAGGGAUGGGAACCUACUUGGGUAUUCCAGAAGACAUAAGCGGCUCCAAGUGCAAAUUGUUUGCUUUCCUUAAGGAUAAGUUAAUGCACAGGGUAAAUGGAUGGACGGGUAGGUGGCUUUCAAAAGGAGGAAAGGAAGUAUUGAUAAAAUCGAUUUUGUUAGCUCUCCCGACUUAUGUAAUGUCUACUUUCCUGCUCCCUUUGGAGAUAUGUGAAAACUUAGCUAGUGCCAUUGCACGCUUCUGGUGGAGCUCGAAUCCCCCAAAGAGAGGAAUACACUGGGCGAAAUGGGAAAAGGUGUGUGCACCAAGAGAGGAAGGUGGGAUUGGGUUUCGUAUGAUCCAUGAGUUUAAUCUGGCAUUGUUGGCAAAACAAUUAUGGAGGUUGGUUCAGUUCCCAGAUUCAUUGGUUGCCCGGGUCUUGAGGGGAAGAUACUACAGAUUAAGUUCUCCGGUGAGAGUAAACUCUACCAAUAACCCAUCGUAUGUGUGGAAUAGCAUCUCUGCUGCAAGGAAGUUGCUACUACUGGGAAUCAGACUGAAGAUUCACUCAGGAUAUGGUGUUAAGGUGUGGGAGGAUCCGUGGAUCCCAACGAUCCCAUCAAGACCGGCGGCUCCUGUUGCGCCUGUUAUGCACCCCAACAUGAGAGUUAGCGAUCUCAUUAAUCAGACAUCGAAGGAAUGGGAUGUUCGGCUUUUGGAGAGCUAUGUCAACAUGGACGAUAUACAGCUUAUAAGGAGUUUAGCCAUAAGCUCAUCUCAUCGCCGCGACUCCUUCUGCUGGAGCUACACAAGAAACGGACAAUACACAGUUAAAUCUGGAUAUUGGGUGGCGCGGAACUUAUUAAAGGUGGAGGAGGAACAGGAGGUUUUGGAGCCAAGUAUCACCAAUCUUCAAGCUUUUGCUUGGAAGCUGAAGGCGCCUACGAAGAUACGUCAUCUUAUAUGGCAGUUGUUGACUGGGCACGUGGCAGUAACAAUGAAUUUAGCAAGACGCAAUAUGAGAUGUGAUAAUUACUGCCCGAGGUGUGGAGAGUUAGAAGAAUCUGUAACUCAUGCCAUCUUUGAAUGCCCGCCAGCGCUACAAGUCUGGAGCCUAUCAGCAACCCCAACAGGCCCAGAGGUAUUUCCAGUAUCAAGCAUCUACACGAACAUGGAUUAUCUAUUUUGGAGGAAAAACUCUAUUAUUGAGCCGGAACAAGACAGGGAUCCUUAUCCCUGGAUAAUUUGGUAUAUAUGGAAGGCUAGGAAUGAAAAACUAUUCAGGGGGAUAGAUAGAGAUCCUUUGGAGUUAGUUCGAUAUGCAGAGAGUGAAUGUCGAGCCUGGUUUGAGGCGAAUGAAGUGAUACAACCAGUGCCACAAGGAAACAAUAUGGUGAUCCCCCAAGUCUUAAGCUUGGGCAACAUAUGCCUGUUAGAUGGAUCUUGGACAGCAUCGGCAAACUUUAGUGGAUGUGGAUGGGUGUGGAUGGACAGUAGGGGGAAGGCUCAGCUUAUGGGGUUAAAAAAUAUUACUCGACGUGAAUCAGCCUUGCACUCGGAAGUUGAAGCACUACAGUGGGCAAUGGAGAAUAUGCUUCAGCACUCAACAUGUCAAAGCUUUGGGACGGAUUGUAAGGACCUGAUUGCUAUGCUAGAGGAACCUCAUGCUUGGCCAAGCUUUGCGACAGAAUUGGAGAAGAUCGAGACGCUACGGAUAUGCUUCCCGGAGUUCAGCAUUACUCAUGUCCCACGAACGCAAAAUCAAUUUUCAGAUUUUUUAGCUAAGACUGCUAGAUCUUUCCAUAGGGAGUUACUUUUCAUUGGUUGUUCUAUUCCGGUCUGGUUACCCAGACCACCUCAAGCCUGAGUAAUAGAAUGGCCGUUUGACGUCAAAAAAAAAAAAAAAAAAUCUAAGUAUAAGUUAAUAUUUUUAGAACCAAUCCGAAACCGAAACUAUUUGGAAUUCAACCGAAAUUUUAGACAUGUAACUAAACUUGAACCGAAUCCGAUCCAAACUGUUAAAAUAUCUAAAUGGGGUUGAAAUUCAUGAAUUGAAAUAGGAAUGAAUCCUAACUGAAACCCAAUUGGCCACUAACCCUAUUUAAUCCAAUAAAAUCUUAUUGUAAAGUCAUCUGAUUAAAUUGAUUAUUUAAAAGUUAUAAACGGAGGAGUAGUUAGUAGGUAGUUUUGUUGUCAAAGAAAAAAGAAAAACAAUUGGACUAUUUGAAAACCAAAUUGGAUCUGGGAGAAAGAGAGCGAUCUGGACGAAGAAGCUAACGGUGGGUACGCAUUAGCUGCAACGCCGCCAUGUUCUCGGAUGACGAAAAAAGACACGUUUCUCCUCACUUUGAUAAAUCUAUAUCAAUGGCGAGGAGGAGAGUCACAGUGAUUGGAUUAUCGUUCCUGCUUUUAGCUGGUACGACGAUGGCAGCGAGAUCUGAUAAGGAAACGAGAGAGCGCUUCUACGGCAACGUUGUGAACUCCACGGCUCCGGGAAACGGCGAAGGGAGUAUCG